rnacentral:rRNA from 1 species
GACGAACGCUGGCGGCGUGCUUAACACAUGCCAGUCGAACGGUGAAGCGCCUUCCUUUUUGGUGGGUGUGGAUGAGUGGCGAACGGGUGAGUAACACGUUAGUAACCUGCCCCCUUCUUCUGGAUAACCGCAUGAAAGUGUGGCUAAUACGGGAUAUUCUGGGUCUGUCGCAUGAUGGGUCUGGGAAAGAUAUUGUUUCGGUGGGGGAUGGGCUCGCGGCCUAUCAGCUUGUUGGUGGGGUGAUGGCCUACCAAGGCGGUGACGGGUAGCCGGCCUGGGAGGGUGGACGGGAACAGAGGGACUGAGACACGGAGAAGACUACGAGGGGAGGCAGCAGGGGGGAAUAUGGAACAAUGGGAGGAAGCCUGAUGCAGCGACGCGGCGUGAGGGAUGGAGGCCUUCGGGUUGUGAACCUCUUUCGCCAGUGAAGCAGGCCUGCCUCGUAUGUGGGUGGGUUGACGGUAGCUGGAUAAGAAGCGCCGGCUAACUACGUG